ensembl:processed_transcript A430010J10Rik RIKEN cDNA A430010J10 gene
AGAACUACUUGCUCAGUCUGAAAUGGCAGGCUUCUGUGUCCUUGCCAGUCUCUGUGCUGACAGGAACAAGGAAGGGCCUCUGUCCAGGGACACCAUGCUGUGCUGCAGACACUGUCUCAUUUAACCCUCAUGGAAGCCCAAGGGCUAGGAUUCUAACAGCAGGCCACAGCUGUCCCUGUCCUUGGGGCUUGCAGACAACUGGAUAGCCGAGUGUGUGGGUCCACGAGAUAGCUUGGAAAGUAAGGGUGUUUGCUGCCAAGCCUGAUGACCCAGAAUUCACAUUAUAAGGAAAGAGAACCGAUCCGCAGGAGCCCGUGUCUGCAUGCAGGACUCUGAAAAUAUGAAGCUUUACCUGAGCAGGAAAUAGACAGCCACAUCCUGCUUGGUAGUCAGGGGGCAGAGAGCAAGAGAUGCAGGAACCUGAACUGGGCUUUUGAAACCUCAAAGCCCACCCCCAGCAGCACAACUCCUCCAACAAGAUAUGUCUGCUCACUAGAAUGUGCACUUCUUGGACACGAGUCACACUCCCCAGAUCAGGAUAAGGCCUGCUUGUGUUUGCUGAGAUAAUAAAUGAGUGGACAAAGAAGCUGGAGAUGAGACUCUCACAGAGCAGAUUUCUCUGAGGGGAGAAACCAAAGCCUCAAAGCCCAGCCUGAGAGCUAAGGAGAUGACCUGGGAGGUUAAGAACACUGGCUGUGCCUGCGGAGGACACAAGUUUGGUUCCUAGCAUCCACAUAGGACAACACGGAACUUCUAUAAAUCCAGCCGCCCAGGAUCCGACAUCCUCUGCUGGUACUUACACUCAUUCAUAUUCACACCAUUUAAAGACUUUUGAAUGAAUCUUAAAAAUAGAAAAGAAACAAACAAGAGUAAGAAACCAAGCCUGGCAUUUAGCCCAUGUUUCCAACCCUUUAGAUGGGUUAUUUCAAUUAACUUUCAGAAUUAAACCACAAAGAGGGUUAGGGGUAUAGCCCAUUUUAAGAGGUGCUUGCCUAGCAUACACUACACCUGGUUCUGAUCCCAGGGCACAUAUACACAAAAGUAGAGAGAUUAGUCUCCUCCAAGGGGGUGAGAGCACUGCCUAACACCACAUUAGCUAACACACGAUGGUCAUGAGCACAGGAUGUCACAUCACGCCCCAGGUGAUCUGUGCAUGUCUUCAUUGCUGUCAUUUAAUUCUACCUGACAUUUCUGUUUACCAUUCUGAUUACCAAGGGAGAUUCGUGUAAUUUCCUGUCAUCCACCCAGUGUUAGCAAAACGUUAAGUCUUGACCAUGAAGGAAUUGUCUGGAUCUACUUGGGGCUGAUCAGUAAGUGGCCACUCUUUGCAAGUGUUUGCACAGAUGGCUGCCUCAGUACACAGAGGUGCUCUAGCUAUAAGGACGGAGGGCAUAAAAACAGUAAGCUGGGCUCGGGGCACAGUACACUACUGGGAGAGCGAGGCUUAGAAUGUCCAAGGUCCUGAGGUACCUUAUGUUUACAAUGAGGCAAAUCUGGGCAAGAGAUAGUCAGGCGUUCAAGGAGCAAACAAGUGGGAAAAGAUGGAAGUGUUUGGAGGAGACUCGAAGCUUUGUGUUUCCUCUUUGAAUCAUUUACUUCUCCAGCUAGUUAUUCUUUACGUUGUUUGCAAGGUCUUGUCUUUCCCAUUUGAAACGCAGUUGGCCAGCAGCUGGAGAUGCUGAACACUGGCGUGUAUAAAACCCUAGGCUCCAUUCUCAACAGGUUUAAAAAAAAAAAAAAAAAGGCUAGUCACUCCUCCUGCUCCAGCAGACCAGGUUGUGACUUCCGGGGCUGCAGUGGCUAAGGACAGUGUUUCAGCAACAUAACAUAAUCAUAAAGACCUCUGCCUUUAUUGUCUGUUUCAGUCUAUGCCACAUGAAACCCUAACCAAGUUCUUCCACCAGUAAGCCAGUUAAAACAGCCAAGUUCGCAGUGAAAGAGCUGAAAACGGAAGAGGGACAAAGAGAACAGCUGAUCAGGAUUCCUCUUCCAGAGCCAAACGUGAGGUUAGGUUUAAAUUGAGGCCAGAGUUGAUAGUUUCCUGAUU